CCUGCGGGGUGCUGCAGUGGGGAAUAUUGGACAAUGGGCGAAAGCCUGAUCCAGCCAUGCCGCGUGUGUGAAGAAGGCCUUCGGGUUGUAAAGCACUUUCAGUGGGGAAGAAAGCCUUGGGGCUAAUACCCUCGAGGAAGGACAUCACCCACAGAAGAAGCACCGGCUAACUCCGUGCGAGCAGCCGCGGUAAUACGGAGGGUGCGAGCGUUAAUCGGAAUUACUGGGCGUAAAGCGCGCGUAGGCGGUCUGAUAAGCCGGUUGUGAAAGCCCCGGGCUCAACCUGGGAACGGCAUCCGGAACUGUCAGGCUAGAGUGCAGGAGAGGAAGGUAGAAUUCCCGGUGUAGCGGUGAAAUGCGUAGAGAUCGGGAGGAAUACCAGUGGCGAAGGCGGCCUUCUGGACUGACACUGACGCUGAGGUGCGAAAGCGUGGGUAGCAAACAGGAUUAGAUACCCGUGUAGUC
rnacentral:rRNA from 1 species